rnacentral:rRNA from 1 species
UACGUAGGGUGCAAGCGUUAAUCGGAAUUACUGGGCGUAAAGCGUGCGCAGGCGGUGAUGUAAGACAGAUGUGAAAUCCCCGGGCUCAACCUGGGAACUGCAUUGUGACUGCAUCGCUGGAGUGCGGCAGAGGGGGGAUGGAAUUCCGGCGUGUAGCAGUGAAAUGCGUAGAUAUGCGGAGGAACACCGAUGGCGAAGGCAAUCCCCUGGGCCUGCACUGACGCUCAUGCACGAAAGCGUGGGGAGCAAA